GACAGAGGGUGCAAACGUUAUCCGGAAUGAUUGGGCGUAAAGGGUCUGUAGGUGGUUGUUCAAGUCUGCUGUUAAAGCGUCUAGCUUAACCAGAUAAAGGCGGUGGAAACUGAACGACUAGAGUGCGGUAGGGGUAGAGGGAAUUCCCAGUGUAGCGGUGAAAUGCGUAGAUCUUGGGAAGAACACCUGUGGCGAAAGCGCUCUACUGGACCGCGACUGACACUGAUGGACGAAAGCUAGGGGAGCGAAUGGG
rnacentral:rRNA from 1 species